rnacentral:rRNA from 1 species
UACGUAGGGUGCAAGCGUUAAUCGGAAUUACUGGGCGUAAAGCGUGCGCAGGCGGUUUUGUAAGUCUGACGUGAAAUCCCCGGGCUCAACCUGGGAAUUGCGUUGGAGACUGCAAGGCUAGAAUCUGGCAGAGGGGGGUAGAAUUCCACGUGUAGCAGUGAAAUGCGUAGAGAUGCGGAGGAACACCGAUGGCGAAGGCAGCCCCCUGGGUCAAGAUUGACGCUCAUGCGACGAAAGCGUGGGGAGCAAA